ACUUUCAGCAACGGAUCUCUUGGCUCUCGCAUCGAUGAAGAACGCAGCGAAUUGCGAUAAGUAAUGUGAAUUGCAGAUUUUCAGUGAAUCAUCGAAUCUUUGAACGCACCUUGCGCUCCUUGGUAUUCCGAGGAGCAUGCCUGUUUGAGUGUUA
rnacentral:rRNA from 1 species